GACUCCGGUUGAUCCUGCCGGACCCCACUGCUAUCGGGGUGGGACUAAGCCAUGCAAGUCGAAGGUCCCCGGCUCCGGGGGCCUGGCAGACGGCUCAGUAACACGUGGCCAACCUGCCCUAGGGAGGGGGAUAACCCCGGGAAACUGGGGUUAAACCCCCAUAGGCGGCGGGAUCUGGAAGGACCCGCCGCUGAAAGUGGUGCACGGGGAUGCUCCGUGCACCAGCCCUAGGAUGGGGCUGCGGCCCAUCAUGGUUGUUGGUGGGGUAACGGCCCACCAAGCCUAUAACGGGUACGGGCCCUGGGAGGGGGAGCCCGGAGAUGGGC
rnacentral:rRNA from 1 species